UGGAUGAGCCCGCGGCCUAUCAGCUUGUUGGUGGGGUGAUGGCUCACCAAGGCGACGACGGGUAGCCGGCCUGAGAGGGCGACCGGCCACACUGGGACUGAGACACGGCCCAGACUCCUACGGGAGGCAGCAGUGGGGAAUAUUGCACAAUGGGCGAAAGCCUGAUGCAGCGACGCCGCGUGAGGGAUGACUGCCUUCGGAGGUACUUUGCUCCACCACGAAACGGAAACCAGGUAAUUUUCAUUAUCCCCUAA
rnacentral:rRNA from 1 species